rnacentral:rRNA from 1 species
UGGGGAAUUUUGGACAAUGGGGGCAACCCUGAUCCAGCAAUGCCGCGUGUGUGAAGAAGGCCUUCGGGUUGUAAAGCACUUUUGUCCGGAAAGAAAACGCCGUGGUUAAUACCCGUGGCGGAUGACGGUACCGGAAGAAUAAGCACCGGCUAACUACGUGCCAGCAGCCGCGGUAAUACGUAGGGUGCAAGCGUUAAUCGGAAUUACUGGGCGUAAAGCGUGCGCAGGCGGUCCGCUAAGACAGAUGUGAAAUCCCCGGGCUUAACCUGGGAACUGCAUUUGUGACUGGCGGGCUAGAGUAUGGCAGAGGGGGGUAGAAUUCCACGUGUAGCAGUGAAAUGCGUAGAGAUGUGGAGGAUACCGAUGGCGAAGGCAGCCCCCUGGGCCAAUACUGACGCUCAUGCACGAAAGGCGUGGGGGAGCAAACAGGAUUCAGAUACCCUGGUAGUCCACGCCCU